rnacentral:lncRNA from 1 species
UCUUCUUCACACAAAAGAAUGUGGUCCUUGGGUUUGUUCUGGCCUGCCAGGUGUGAAGUUGCAGUAGCUGGAGAACCAAAAAUGUCACCAAAGUCUUCCCAUCAGGAUUCACCACACAUGAAUGAAACUUCAGAUGAUUCCAGCCUCCUUCCCUCCCUGGAAGGCCUCCACUUCAAGGAACAGAGAUAAACCUUCUUUGCUGUGUCCUAUCUUAAUUAGUGGCCCAAAGGAUCUAUAAGCUCAAUAAAUGAUCAGCUCACCCUACUAGGCUUUGAUACAAUUUGUUGUGUGGCAUUAGAUAAUCAGAAUAAAUGAACAGAACAUUUUCAC